rnacentral:lncRNA from 1 species
AGCUACAUCCCAUUUUUAUUUAUUCAUUUAUUUUAUUUGCCCAGGCUGAGAUUGAACUUCCAAUCCUCCUGCCUCAGCCUCCCAGAGUACUGCGAAUACAGGUGCGUGUCAUUCUGUCCAGUUCACAUCUUUAAAAGUCCCUGUAGAUUCCACCCAGUUGUCCUCCAGAAAUGUACCAACCCUUGUUGGACAGGAGGUGGGUGGCUGCGGUUGGUUGGUAGGGGGCACUGUGUGGGCAUAGUCCCUGCCUCCGACUCUAGGCCACCGAGGCCCGCACAAGGCCUCUGCAAGCCAGCCAGCGAGGCGUCCCGGCCUGCCCAAACUUCUGGGUGGCAUUCUGGAACAAAAAGCAAGAGGAACACGAAGAGCAAGCCAGACGCUCCCACUUUUGAUUUCGAGAAGGAAAGCAAGGGAUGAGGCCACGUUCAAAAAUAUAGGUCAAAUCUCGGUUUCUGCGGUUACCAAACACUGCCAACCACAGUGCCUACCUCCCUGGGGGCGGGGGUGCCAGGCUUCCGAGGCCUGCCAGCCGAGCCUGGCACCCCGGGCUGCGCCCCCUGCCGCAGCCCAGAUCCCGGCCCAGCGGGGCUGGAGGGGCUGCACGGAGCGCCCCUCACUCGAGGGGCGGGGCGCCACUGCACUUCCUUGGGGCGCAGACGGCCCGGGGUGGCCCCGAUCCCGGGCCCGCGCGCCCGCGGUGCAGGCAGCGCCCCCUGGGAGGGAGGAGGCCGGGCGCCGUGGAACAAUGUGGUGGGUUGUUUUGCAGACCGCCAGCCUCGUUCCCGGAUCCUCCUGUCCACGCCCCUUGGCCUAACCGCCACAGGCCCAGCACGCAGAGGGAAGAGCCCCCUUAUUUGGUCUUGGAAAGAAAGGGGAAAGGUUAUCCUCAGAUGCCUGCGGCGUUGGGUCAUCCGCCCGCAGCGGCUGCCGCGCCCGCGGGAGCAGCCCGUCUCCGCCGGUAGGUUGCGGGCAGCCCUUUUGUUUGCCUGCGCGUCCCACGCGCCCUCGCGCAUUGUUCCACCUGCCUCCUGAAGGGGUCGGGGGGCCGGUGAUGUUCACUCCAACAGCCCUGCUUCGAGUGUCUUCGCCUGGAGAGGAACCCAUUUUCCAAGUCCACAAUUCAAGACAACGUUGGAAAGAGUUGCAGGAGUGACAGUUUCUUGCUUACCUUUUUAAACGGUGCCUAUUUUUCUUUCUAAAAAAGGAAAGCUUGGGUGAACCAAAUUACAUCUAGGAAACAUGUUUUUUCUCUUUUGCAUGAUUUUCUUUUAAAAAGAAAAAGCUGCUCCUAUCAGUGUUGGGGGG